rnacentral:rRNA from 1 species
CCUAUAAGAACUGGGAGUAACUCCGGGAAACCCGGGGGCCGUAAUACCGGAUAAUAUUUUGUAACCGCAUGGUUCAAUAGUGAAAGACGGUUUCGGCUGUCACUUAUAGAUGGACCCGCGCCGUAUUAGCUAGUUGGUAAGGUAACGGCUUACCAAGGCGACGAUACGUAGCCGACCUGAGAGGGUGAUCGGCCACACUGGAACUGAGACACGGUCCAGACUCCUACGGGAGGCAGCAGUC